AAAAAGUUGUGGAUUGAAGAAGAAAGCCAUUGUCUUUUAUUGUGAUGGUCAAAGACCCCUGAAUUCAUUCCCUGUUGCCAUGUGUUUUCCCAUCACCUUUUGUCAUGUGUUUUCCUACCUCCUG